rnacentral:rRNA from 1 species
AGGAAAAGAAACUAACAAGGAUUCCCCUAGUAACUGCGAGUGAAGCGGGAAGAGCUCAAAUUUUAAAUCUGGCGUGCCUCUGGCCGUCCGAGUUGUAGUCUGGAGAAGUGUUUUCCGUGUUGGACCGUGUAUAAGUCUCUUGGAACAGGGCGUCAUAGAGGGUGAGAAUCCCGUCUUUGACACGGACUACCAAUGCUUCGUGAUGCACUCUCAAAGAGUCGAGUUGUUUGGGAAUGCAGCUCAAAAUGGGUGGUAAAUUCCAUCUAAAGCUAAAUACAGGCGAGAGACCGAUAGCGAACAAGUACCGUGAGGGAAAGAUGAAAAGCACUUUGGAAAGAGAGUUAAACAGUACGUGAAAUUGCUGAAAGGGAAACGCUUGAAGUCAGUCACGUCUGCCAGGACUCAGCCUUGCUUCUGCUUGGUGUACUUUCUGGUUUGAUGGGCCAACAUCAAUUUCGACCGUUGGAGAAAGGCUUUGGGAAUGUGGCACCUUCGGGUGUGUUAUAGCCCUUUGUUGUAUACGACGGUUGGGAUUGAGGACUGCAGCAUGCCUUCAUGGCCGGGGUUCGCCCACGUACGUGCUUAGGAUGUUGGCAUAAUGGCUCUAAGCGACCCG